rnacentral:lncRNA from 14 species
CAUGAACAGGACAGGCUGCAAGCAGUGAAGGCAAAAGCUUUGCAGGAGGCUCUCACUUACAUGACCAGCAUCCCAUCAGAGAGGGAGAGAGAAACAGGAACAGACGAGAAUUCCAGAAAAGUGGAAAGAAAUGCAUAAAACUGCUCCCAACCAGGUUAUUAAUGACAUAACAGAUCAAAACCCAGAGUCACUACAAAAGUAAAACCAGGAAGCUGGAGACGCCACAGAAAUGCUGUUAAGGGCUGUUCGUGAGCAUGUGGAACAGACCUUAGAAAAUUUAAAAGGAAAGGACAGACUCCUAGCCAUCCAAAGGCAACAAACAAGGAGCUAUGAGGAGAAAACAGAAGAACAGCUGAAUGUCUUGCACAAAGACUUAAAAUAUGCUAAGGCAGUACUGAAAGAAAAGGAUAUUGUGAUCAAAUCUCAGAAGGAAGUGAUUGAGACCUUCCAAAACCAAGAACAAGACUCUGAACAGCAGAAGAAAAUUCUGCAACAACUUGAAGUGGCACUAAAGGAAAAAGAUCAAGAAAUUGUAUCCCUUAGGAAGCAAUGCGAGGCAUGCAGGGAAAAGGAGGAAAAGCAUGGAGCUGAGCAAAAAAAUCUGCAAGCAACAAAACGGACUCUGAAAGAGAGAGAAAAGAAGCAGGCUACUGCAGAAGGAGUGCAGCAAUCGUGGCUCUUGGAGAAGAAGCUCCUGUCGCAGCAGCUGGAAAACUUGCAGCAAGUAGUUGCAAGGCUGAAACUUACCAACACUGAGCUGAAGAAAUUCAGUGCUGAACUCAAGAAGACUCUUGAGGAGGUGAAACAGGGUUUCACUGCCCAUGCUAAGCCUCACAGUCUUCUGGAGCACCACACGUCUCCACAGACAGCAGUUUGGGGUCCUUGGCUUGUUCCCUCUCCCACUCUCCCCUUGGACACACCCUUUUGUGUUUUCCUUCUCUUCUGGCACCUCAUUUGCCUUCACAAAUGCACAUUCACUCCAGUACCACCCUUCCUGCCCCGGUGUCCCCAUUCACACACAUUGGACUCUCAUGUGUCAGGAAGUGUUUCCUCUUGCUCUUUCUUGUCCAUAGUCUACACUGAGUGCUUUUUGCCGCCAACAUUUUCGCCCAAGAGGCCCUUUUGCUCCUUGUUUGGUGGCAGGUUUCUGUGAACCUUUCUCCUAUCCAACGUGCAGGUGGAAUGUCAAUGGAGGAAACUGAUGAGGCUCCACUGUGAUCAGUCGCUGACAGGUGCAAGUGGAUCUUCCUUCUCCAAGCCUCACCGGCACAAGAUGCCUGCUUCUAGACAGGUGAGAACAGAGGCUUACUUGGUGGGAGGAGGCUCUGACACAUCCUAGGGGCAGCAGCCCCCCAGUAUAGACCUACUAGAAGUCGAAUACAGGCCUAGUAUAAGUCAAAUAUAGACCAUGGUCCUGGUCAAACUGGAGACCAAAGAGAAAUCCUUGUGUUUUCUUUACAGGAGGAGUCCUAUGAACACUGCAGGCAUCAAUGACCUGACUUGCAGAACCAGGGGAGAAGCCAGAAAGCUCUCACUUCUUGAGCAGCUGCAGCACCCCGUGGUUCCUGUCCUGUACCUUUCCCAGAACCAUCUUCUUUUACUGCUGUGGGACAGAGGGGUGGGUUUGUUCUCUUGACAUUUAGAAGUAGUUUACAUAUGGGCAGGGACUCCUAACUUUCCUGUUUUGUUUCUUAAUAAAAGACAUUCUGCAAUCGCUCA